UAGGCAUAGGAUGCAUCUGGGAAGCUAAAAAAGAGGACAACAACAAGGGCUGCGCUGAUCAUCGAUCAGCGGUUGCAAAAGGUAGAGAACCACCGUGUCGCACUUGAAACAAAUCGACCUUUUGGCUUUGUUUACUGAUUUAGAAACAAUAAUCUAAGCCAUCGAUCGACCUCUAAUCCAAGUUCUGAGGGUUCCCAUGAACCUAGUCUAAAAAAUAUUUUAAUGAGUUUAUCUAUUUUUAUUAUAUACAC
rnacentral:lncRNA from 1 species